UAACCUGUCACUAGAGAUUUAGCAGGCUCCGGAUGGCUGUGUGCUUAUCAGCGGAGAUGUGUGCUUGUCAGCGGAGAUUUAACAGCUGUGUACUUAGGGUGAGGGUAGUCCUGGUCAAUUUGCA